AGAGUUUGAUCAUGGCUCAGGACGAACGCUGGCGGCGUGCCUAACACAUGCAAGUUGAGCGACGAACCAGGGCUUGCCCUGGGGCAAAGCAGCGAACGGGUGAGUAACACGUGGAUAACGUACCCCGAUAACCGGGACAACCCGAGGAAACUCGAGCUAAUACCGGAUGUGCUUACUCCACACCAGUGGAAUAAGUAAAGGAAGCUUCGGCCUCCGUAUCGGGAGCGGUCCGCGGCCCAUUAGCUAGUUGGUGAGGUAACGGCUCACCAAGGCGACGAUCCGUAGCUGGUCUGAGAGGAUGACCAGCCACACUGGGACUGAGACACGGCCCAGACUCCUACGGGAGGCAGCAGUGGGGAAUAUUGGACAAUGGGCGCAAGCCUGAUCCAGCCAUGCCGCGUGGGUGAAGAAGGCCUUAGGGUUGUAAACCCCUUUCAGCGGGGAAGAUAAUGACGGUACCCGCAGAAGAAGUCCCGGCUAACUCCGUGCCAGCAGCCGCG
rnacentral:rRNA from 1 species